UUGAACGCUGGCGGUAUGCUUUACACAUGCAAGUCGAACGGGCUAUGGGGCUUGCUCCAUAGUUAGUGGCGAACGGGUGAGUAAUAUAUCGGAACAUAUCUGGAAGUGGGGGAUAACGUAGCGAAAGUUACGCUAAUACCGCAUAUGCCCUGAGGGGGAAAGGGGGGGAUCGCAAGACCUCUCGCUUUCGGAGUGGCCGAUAUCGGAUUAGCUAGUAGGUGAGGUAAAGGCUCACCUAGGCGACGAUCCGUAGCUGGUCUGAAAGGACGACCAGCCACACUGGAACUGAGACACGGUCCAGACUCCUACGGGAGGCAGCAGUGGGGAAUUUUGGACAAUGGGGGAAACCCUGAUCCAGCCAUUCCGCGUGAGUGAAGAAGGCCUUCGGGUUGUAAAGCUCUUUCAGGAGGGAAGAAACGGUUACGGAUAAUACCUGUGACUAAUGACGGUACCUUCAGAAGAAGCACCGGCUAACUACGU
rnacentral:rRNA from 1 species